AGUGAACGCUGGCGGUAGGCCUAACACAUGCAAGUCGAACGGCAGCACAGUAAGAGCUUGCUCUUACGGGUGGCGAGUGGCGGACGGGUGAGGAAUACAUCGGAAUCUACUUUUUCGUGGGGGAUAACGUAGGGAAACUUACGCUAAUACCGCAUACGACCUACGGGUGAAAGCAGGGGAUCUUCGGACCUUGCGCGAUUGAAUGAGCCGAUGUCGGAUUAGCUAGUUGGCGGGGUAAAGGCCCACCAAGGCGACGAUCCGUAGCUGGUCUGAGAGGAUGAUCAGCCACACUGGAACUGAGACACGGUCCAGACUCCUACGGGAGGCAGCAGUGGGGAAUAUUGGACAAUGGGCGCAAGCCUGAUCCAGCCAUGCCGCGUGGGUGAAGAAGGCCUUCGGGUUGUAAAGCCCUUUUGUUGGGAAAGAAAAGCAGCAGGUUAAUACCCCGCUGUUCGGACGGUACCCAAAGAAUAAGCACCGGCUAACUUCGU
rnacentral:rRNA from 1 species